rnacentral:rRNA from 1 species
GACGAACGCUGGCGGCGUGCUUAACACAUGCAAGUCGAACGAGCGGCGGACGGGUGAGUAAUGUCUGGGAAACUGGCUGAUGGAGGGGGAUCACUAAUGGAAACGGUAGCUAAUACCGCAUACCAUCAGAUGUGCCCGGAUGGGAUUAGCUAGUAGGUGGGGUAAUGGCUCACCUAGCCGACGAUCCCUAGCUGGUCUGAGAGGAUGACCAGCCACACUGGAACUGAGACACGGUCCAGACUCCUACGGGAGGCAGCAGUGGGGAAUAUUGCACAAUGGGCGCAAGCCUGAUGCAGCCAUGCCGCGUGUGUGAAGAAGGCCUUCGGGUUGUAAAGCACUUUCAGCGAGGAGGCGUUACUCGCAGAGGAAGCACCGGCUAACUCCGUGCCAGCAGCCGCGGUAAUUC